GUCCACGCCGUAAACGAUGGAGACUAGGUGUAGGCGGAUAGAACCCCGUCUGUGCCGAAGCCAACGCGUUAAGUCUCCCGCCUGGGGAGUACGGCCGCAAGGUUAAAACUCAAAGGAAUUGACGGGGGCCCGCACAAGCAGCGGAGCGUGUGGUUUAAUUCGAUGAUACGCGAAGAACCUUACCUGGGUUUGACAUACCGGUAGUAGCCGAGUGAAAACGAGGUGACCCUUCGGGGAGCCGGUACAGGUGCUGCAUGGCUGUCGU
rnacentral:rRNA from 1 species